GGUUAAGCGACUAAGCGUACACGGUGGAUGCCCUGGCAGUCAGAGGCGAUGAAGGACGUGCUAAUCUGCGAAAAGCGUCGGUAAGGUGAUAUGAACCGUUAUAACCGGCGAUGUCCGAAUGGGGAAACCCAGUGCAAUUCGUUGCACUAUCGUUAACUGAAUACAUAGGUUAACGAGGCGAACCGGGGGAACUGAAACAUCUAAGUACCCCGAGGAAAAGAAAUCAACCGAGAUUCCCCCAGUAGCGGCGAGCGAACGGGGAGCAGCCCAGAGUCUGAAUCAGCUUGUGUGUUAGUGGAACGGUCUGGAAAGUCCGACGGUACAGGGUGAUAGUCCCGUACACCAAAAUGCACAGGUUGUGAACUCGAAGAGUAGGGCGGGACACGUGGUAUCCUGUCUGAAUAUGGGGGGACCAUCCUCCAAGGCUAAAUACUCCUGACUGACCGAUAGUGAACCAGUACCGUGAGGGAAAGGCGAAAAGAACCCCGGCGAGGGGAGUGAAAAAGAACCUGAAACCGUGUACGUACAAGCAGUGGGAGCACCUUCGGGUGUGACUGCGUACCUUUUGUAUAAUGGGUCAGCGACUUAUAUUCUGUAGCAAGGUUAACCGUAUAGGGGAGCCGCAGGGAAACCGAGUCUUAACUGGGCGUUAAGUUGCAGGGUAUAGACCCGAAACCCGGUGAUCUAGCCAUGGGCAGGUUGAAGGUUGGGUAACACUAACUGGAGGACCGAACCGACUAAUGUUGAAAAAUUAGCGGAUGACUUGUGGCUGGGGGUGAAAGGCCAAUCAAACCGGGAGAUAGCUGGUUCUCCCCGAAAGCUAUUUAGGUAGCGCCUCGUGAACUCAUCUUCGGGGGUAGAGCACUGUUUCGGCUAGGGGGUCAUCCCGACUUACCAACCCGAUGCAAACUACGAAUACCGAAGAAUGUUAUCACGGGAGACACACGGCGGGUGCUAACGUCCGUCGUGAAGAGGGAAACAACCCAGACCGCCAGCUAAGGUCCCAAAGUCAUGGUUAAGUGGGAAACGAUGUGGGAAGGCACAGACAGCCAGGAUGUUGGCUUAGAAGCAGCCAUCAUUUAAAGAAAGCGUAAUAGCUCACUGGUCGAGUCGGCCUGCGCGGAAGAUGUAACGGGGCUAAACCAUGCACCGAAGCUGCGGCAGCGACACUAUGUGUUGUUGGGUAGGGGAGCGUUCUGUAAGCCUGCGAAGGUGUGCUGUGAGGCAUGCUGGAGGUAUCAGAAGUGCGAAUGCUGACAUAAGUAACGAUAAAGCGGGUGAAAAGCCCGCUCGCCGGAAGACCAAGGGUUCCUGUCCAACGUUAAUCGGGGCAGGGUGAGUCGACCCCUAAGGCGAGGCCGAAAGGCGUAGUCGAUGGGAAACAGGUUAAUAUUCCUGUACUUGGUGUUACUGCGAAGGGGGGACGGAGAAGGCUAUGUUAGCCGGGCGACGGUUGUCCCGGUUUAAGCAUGUAGGCUGGUU
rnacentral:rRNA from 2 species